ACUACGGGAGGCAGCAGUGGGGAAUAUUGCACAAUGGGGGAAACCCUGAUGCAGCGACGCCGCGUGAGUGACGAAGUAUCUCGGUACGUAACGCUCUAUCUGCAGGGAAGAAAAUGACGGUACCUGACUAAGAAGCCCCGUCCAACUACGUGCCAGCAGCCGCGGUAAUACGUAGGGGGCAGGCGUUCUCCGGAUUUAUUGGGAGUAAAGGGAGCGUAGACGGGAGCCAAAGUCUGGAGUGAAAUCCCGGGGAUGAACCCCGGAACUGCUUUGGAAACUGGGCGGCUGGAGUGGAGGAGGGGUAAGCGGAAUUCGUGGUGUAGCGGUGAAAUGCGUAGAUAUGAGGAGGAACACCGGUGGCGAAGGCGGCUUACUGGACCGUAACUGACGUUGAGGCUCGAAAGCGUGGGGAGCAAACAGGAUUAGAUACCCCUGUAGUC
rnacentral:rRNA from 1 species